rnacentral:tRNA from 1 species
GGGCUGUAGCUCAGUUGGUAGAGCGCCUGCUUUGCAAGCAGGAUGUCAGGAGUUCGAAUCUCCUCAGCUCC